rnacentral:lncRNA from 1 species
UUAGACUUGUUAAUUUGGGGAUAUGUGAUGGUAACACUAAUACUGUGUGAUGCUGUUAUACGAAACUAGAAUACAGUCACGUGAUAUAAUUAUAAAUAUUUUAUUUAUUUAUAUUUCAACGUUCAACACAUGUGUUUGGGCCCAAAUUCGGCACGCCUAAGACCAGAAGGCAGGCCCAUGAUAAAAUUGCCUGCCCAGCCCAGAGACUUGAGAAAAACAAAAAAUAAGAUCCAAACAGUUUGGGCUUCACACCAAGAACGUUGGAAAUAAAGCCUCAGCCCAAAGAAAGCCCAGAUGUGGAAACUUUCGAAAUGGACUUCAAAGAUCAGCCCGUAAUUUUCGAUAGAUUCAAAACCAAGGGAUCAAAGACACACCCACGUGAUUGCCUCAGCUUUGGAAAAGUCAGCAAUUUCAACUAAAAUUUAAAAAUGUGAGAGGGACGUCUCUGAAACACUGCCAAUUGAAGAUCAAAAACCCAUCUGUGUUCAAGAUUUUGCUCCAAAUCAAUACACCAUCUCCCAAGAAAUUCAAGGAUCACGCUUUCUAAAUUAGAAUGGGAAACAGGGAACCACUCAGAAAAUACAAAAGAAAAAGAGCCAAAACCGCCAUAAAAAGCUCACACAGACGGUGGCGUUGGUUGAAUUAGAAAGCUGCCACCCAGGAAACCAGGGAAGGGACUGUUUUUAGGAGGUGACUGCUCAGAACCUAUCUAAGAAACCCUUCUUACUUUACAUUAUAAGAGAUCUUUUUGCCGCCCAUUGUUUAAAAGAUUAAAAAUGACCUCCUUAGGAGGAUCUCUUAUAAAAGCGAAAGAAGGCAAAGAAACAAAACACACUCAAUUCAUCAAUCAAUCAAAAA